GGUUCGCUGGUGUAGUUGGUUAUCACGUUCGCCUCACAACCUAGUGUCCGCGAAAGGUCGCGAGUUCGAACCUCGCGUGAAUCA